UAUAUUGUUUUUGUUUAUUCGUUGUAUUUUGUUUUAGUAUGAAAGCAAAUAAAAUUGCAGUAUGUUUUAUUGCUUCCAAGCAGCAAUCAGAAGGCACAGCGCUCCUCCUAACACAGGAGAAAUUAAAGAGAAGGCUGUACUGGAGCCCUGAGAGCUCAGUGACCUUCUCCAAACUGAACAGAGUGUGAAAUGUGAUUCUGUUCUCUUUAGGAUGAUUACCGAACUCCUCUUGGCUAAUACGACCAUUUGGCAUUACAUAUCUUCUAGUUGUCAUGCAGAUGACUCACUUAAAAUCAUUGCAGGAUAGCGUAAUUCACAUAUGUUAACUCAGUUCAUUUCAUCUGCCAUUUACCAACUGUUCUAUAGAAUAGUUUUACAUCCUGUAGAAUUGAUCUGUUUACCCGAAGGCAAAUUCAACCCGGUCUAUUAUAGAGCCUUUCCUUUCUUUCAAACCAAGGAAAGUUUCCCGCUUAGCUUUAAGGUUAUAAUGAAUGCUCUGGUACAGGUGGGGUUUUUCUUCACGUCAAGAAGAUGACAUUUUAUUGUUUGGUGGUACACAGCAGGUCAUCAUCCUGCUGGAUGCCUCUGGGAAGUCAGUCCCAGAUUUACUACUUGUACCCAUUUCAUUCAGGCACUGAAAUAAUUUGGGGUGAAACUUUUUCAGCAUUGAAGAAGCAAAGAUCGCAUCACUUUAUUUAUAGGGAAAGUAAAACCAGCAAUUCUGUACCUGCAGGCUUUACCACUCCUGGGUUCUUCUCAUCAAGUAAAUCUGCUGAGAUUUAAUGCUAUAUAAUCCUAGUUUAAGUUGGUAUAAAUAUCUGACAUUUUUAUGUGGGUAAAAUCAAACAAGAGAGGGAUCUCUACACAGUGACAUUUUUGUCACUACCUCAGGAAACCAAAACAGAAUGUUUUCGAUGCAAUCCAGAUUUUGAAAAGUGGCCUUAAAUAACUUGUAUCACAUGCUUUGCUCAUAAUCGGCAUUUCUUUUCCACAUUAGAGUUUGACUUUAACUUCCCCUCCUCCUUCUCUUAUUUAUUUUGCUCCAUAGACUUUGCACCCUCCCAUGCAAAUAAACAAUCAUUUGUUUAUUCUAUUGUACUGCUUGUCUCCUCCACCAGAAGACAUGGGCAAAGGCCAGAGAGAAGUUUCCCUUAUACCAUCACAGGCCCAGCCACUCCAGAGGAAGAAAAUAGUGACUCAAAAGUCACAUAAGGAUGGAACAUUUUGGAAGUCUUAAGAUGUGACUGGUGUUUAAAAAAUAAAAACGGCUAAUAUGGCUCCAAGGAAAUAUUGCGCAUCUGAGCUGCUCUCCGGGUGGUACCCUGGUCCAAGUUCCAGGGUUGAUGACCUCUGGUUCUUGAGUCUCAGCAAUGAAGGAAUCAGGACAGUAUAAAGUGAGAACCUUUGGAUUUAGAAUUUUCUUGGACCAGUUCUUGGUGCCUUCUCUGUAGAUGCCCUCUCGCACCACGUCUCAACACUGCUGACCUGAGGGCAGCAGGACCGAAGUCCUGAUGUCCCUCAGCCCCCUAAGUGCCUCACCAGCAAGACAAUCUCCAUUCCCUUUCAUUGCAACCUUCUCUCCAGUCAUCCAGCCCAUCAGGCCCUCACACCUUUUGGCCAGGUCUCGUUUCCCACGAUGACCCCUGAGAGAAUCUUACAGAGGAUGCUGCCUGCUGCCCACAGCACGGAGUCCAGCACAGUCCUCAGCACCCAGCUUGGUGCCCAGAUUUGAACAACUGUUCAGGAAGUGUUAUGAACAAAAACCACGGAGAGAGGAAAUUGUUCCACUGAGUUAUUUCUGGAGUGAUCCUAGUAUCCCUCCCCAGUUUUCUUAGUAGAAAAAUCCUCUGACGUGUGGUUCAUAGCAGUUCUCCAAAGCCAUGGGGGCCCCUGCUUUCUUCACUCCUGAGAGUCAGUGGCUGUGGUCUCCAGUGAGCAUCUCUGACCUAUGUUUGUGAGUCAACAUGGAUUUACGGAGCCAAGUUCUGGUGAGGAAGGUAGACAGCCCCUGACUUUCUGAAGCUUAUAUUCUCAUGAGAGAGACAGAAAAAAAAAUGAAAUAAAUAUCUCAUUUCAGGUGAUAAGUCCAUAAAGGAAAACCAAAGAAAGUAAGGGAAUGGAGAGGAAAAGCGUAGGGCAAGGUUAUCUGAAUUAGGAUGAUACAGGCAAGGCUCUCAGAGGAAGUGACAUUUGAGUAGAGGCUGUACAGAAGUCUGCCAGACAGUUUGAGUCAUGUAAAAAUGUCUUCAGAAUUAAAAUACAUGACAGUGGGAACACAAAAAAUAGGAGGGUAUUAAAUUGAUUAAAAUAGUCUAAGGCUCUUAAUAAAUGUUGUCCAGAAAGUGGUAAAAGUACUCAUUUAUAUUGGACUUUGGUAAAUUAAGCACACAUGAUGUAGUAUCUAUAGUUUUAAGAGAAGAAAAAUAAAACAGAGGAAGGAAAAGGAAUGCAAUGAUAAUAAUUAAUCCAAAAAGUAGCAAAAAAGAGACAAAAAAGAAUAUUUGAUUGGAAAAACAUAUAGAAAAUAGUAUGAUGGAUUUAAACCUAAAUAUAUUCAUAAUUACAUCAAAUAUACAUUGACUACAUACUCAAAUUAAGAGACAAAGAUUAUAAACAAAUGAUUGCAAAUAAAAUCCCAUCAGACAUAGCUUACUAGGGACAUACUUUGAGUAUAAAGGAAUGAAAAGAUUGAAAGCAAAGGGUAGAAAACUGCAGACAAAAGUUAACCAGAAGAAGAAUGAUAUAGCCAUAUUAAAAUUAGACAAUGUAGACUUUAAAGCUAGAAGAAUUACUAGAAAUCAAGAUGGCCAUUUUACAAGAAUGAAAGUGUUAUCUCAGCAUGAUGAUGUAACAAUGCUCAAUUUGUGUGUUGAAUAACACAGCUUCAAAAUAUAUAAAGCAAAAAUGAACGGAAGUAAACAGAGAAACCAAGAAACUACAACCAUAGUGGGAGAUUUUAAGGUACUUCUCCCUGCAAAUGAUAGAAAGAGAAGACAAAAAAAUCAGUACUGAACUAACUGAACAUUUGAAGACUGUGAUAAACAAGGAUGCCUGCUGUCUUUUCCUCUAUACUGCAUUGCACCUGAGGUCUCAGCCAGACUUACCCAGGCUUAUUUGCAGCCACAAGGGUAAGAGGACAAAUGGAGGCUACAUUCCCCAUAUAUAAACAUGCAAAAAUUACAAAUCAAGUUGUGAAACUGUCAAAAUAGUCCUGUCCUCCUACCCUGACAAAUAAACCUUUAAACGACAAAA